rnacentral:misc_RNA from 1 species
GAUGAAGAACGCAGCGAAAUGCGAUAAGUAAUGUGAAUUGCAGAAUUCAGUGAAUCAUCGAAUCUUUGAACGCACAUUGCGCCCCCUGGUAUUCCGGGGGGCAUGCCUGUCCGAGCGUCAUUACAACCCUCAAGCUCAGCUUGGUGUUGGGCCCCGCCGCCCCGGCGGGCCCUAAAGUCAGUGGCGGUGCCGUCCGGCUCCGAGCGUAGUAAUUCUUCUCGCUCUGGAGGUCCGGUCGUGUGCUCGCCAGCAACCCCCAAUUUUUUUCAGGUUGACCUCGGAUCAGGUGGGGAUACCCGCUGAACUUAAGCAUAUCAAUAAGCGGAGGA